UGUGCACCGCUCAUCGUACUGUAUAGAAUGAUAGUACAAUAACGACGUUGUGGCGGCCGUCGCGGAAAAAUCAAACGUACACUCUAAUUUGUUAUACUAGAUGUUCGUGCCGGGAGGCCGCCGGUUCGCGAUAAAAGAACCGCCCUGUAUAACACGAUAUGAGGGACGGUACGUUUGUAAUAAUGAUAACAUAGUAUCUACACUAGGCGCACACGCGUAUACAGUACGUCGCCGUUGCGUUGUCGUAAUUCGGCCGAGCGUGUUCGGGCGGCGUUACCAAUUUUCGCGGAAUGCUCCGAAAACGGCUCCGAGUUCUCGGGGCCCGGUAUA